CUCGCCCUCUUAUCCUCCACCUAUCCUCUCCAGUUGGAACAGGAAGAACAACCCAGAGCCUUGGAACACAUACGGUCCAGACGAUCAGUACAAGUUGGUGGCCGUCAAUAUGGACUACAAGGCUCUGAAGAAGGAGGGCCCUGACUUCUAAAGGUCCUUCAGGCAACUCCAGGAGCACCGAGUUUGGCAGGACCUCCUGUCAUCCUAGUGGCAGGGUCGGGGCAGCCUGAGCCUCGGUCGGGUCCUCUGUCUGUCCCCUCUGCUGUCUCUUCAGAAUGCACAACAUUUCAUUAUAACUGUCUUUUCGUGCACUAACCUACAGUUAUAGAAGCAAUUGUCUCCAUGUGCACCAAAAAAUACUGUUAUUAUAACCUACCUGUCUCUUCAGACACCACACUACAGUGUAAAUCUCUUCAUGUAUAAAAACCCUAUAGAGAUGUAAUGUAACAGGCUCUUUCACUUUCACAAACCCUACAGUUAUUAGAACCUGUCUCUUCACAACGCACAACAGCGCUCUUAUAUAUCAGUCUCUUUUUUAUUUUCAGCAACAACAACCCUAAAGUGAUGUAUCCUUCUUCAUGCCUCUACCCUGAUGUUACAUAACUGUCUCUUAACGCUACCUUGAAAACAACACUAUUAAACAUCAGGCAAAGAGGUCUGGUUACGUUGA